CUUACAUCCACAUUGAAUCGAGGUGAAACUUAACCAUUGGGUUUGUGGACGUGUUUACGUUUUGUCUGCCUGAGUUGGUUAUCCAGCGGUACGGGCUUCUAUUGACAAGACGUCCAACAACAGUCACGUUUCAACAAAGGAAUCCUGAUUGAAUUCUGUUCAUUUUAAAACCAAAAAGGUGCCAAAAAUGUUUUUGCCAAGAAAGAAACAAAAGUAAAACAACAACAUGGCAAAAAAACAAUAAAAACAACAACACAUUACUUUUCAUUUUGAAACGCUGAAGCUCAAACCAACAUUCAUUUUAUUAGUUGUUUGUGCAAGAAGUAAAUAAGCCAAUAAAAACAGACAAGGUCAGCUGGGUGUCCUCCUCCAAUGAGGAGGCUUGUCAGAAAGUCACAUGACACAUUCCCUAAACAGACGUCCAAUCUCGAGUGUUACAAAGGAGACCAACACAAGGAAAUGGUGGUUGUCAAUAGUUACCACAGUCACAAAGUCAUAAACCCCACCUAUUUCAACAAAUUCUCUUCUUAAAAUGGGAUUUAAACCUAACCCUAACCGUAAUCACACUGCUAACCGUAUGCCUAACCUUAAAGUAAGCUAAUUUGUGUUUACAUGCAUUUUAAUCAUGUAGCCAAUUUUUACUUUGUGGCUGUGGUAAUUAGUGGAAACCGGAAGAGGUCCUAUAGACGGGUAGGUUGUUUAGCAACAAAAAGCACGAGUGCGCAACUAUGGGGCAAAACAGACGGGGUUGGCUUAGAUUGUUGAUAACAUGUAAACUAUAUUUCGUGCCUAUUGUUUUUUGAAAACGUAAAUAUAUUUGCACAAUGAGCACUUGCUGUCUCUCAAAUACAGUUGUUGGUUAGCUAGCUAGCAAUUUGUUUUACCAUAUUAGCAUAGCUGUGACAUCAGUCAAAACAAGACAUUGUAUCAAGAACAAGUUAAAACUUGCUGAAACAAGCCACCUACGAUUCCCUACAUGACAUUGUCUUGUCAUUGUUGCUCGCUGGUCAUCCAGAACCACAACACAUGGACUUCUGUCCCUUUGAAGCCCGUAGUGUUCAAGACGUUGUCAGCUAAGCCAUCUAUUCCGGAAAAGAACCACGGAACCAAGAAACCGCCUCGCGUCUCAACAUGUUGGACCCAAGAACGUGCCGGACGCUAGGUGAAAUGGAGCAAAGAGUGGAAACACUACGGUUUUCCAAGCAGGCCAUAUGCAAAUAAAUUAAUCUGAACAGGC